CAGUGGCAAAAUGUGGCGUCCACCAAAAUGUGAAGGAUUGUUUGUCUGCACAGGAUCCCCACUGUGUGUGGUGUGUCUCUGCUGACAGCUGCACAUUUAAAGACCACUGCACAGAUUCAGAGUGGUUGUCCAUCCCUAAUGAAUCGCAGAAAAAAAUGGUUUCCCAUCAAGUUAUGAAGGACUCCCAUGGAAAGAUCAAAUUAAUGAUCCAGACACAUCUGACUGUGGAGCAGAAGCUUCAUUUUAACUUCACCUGUGAAUUCUCUACAAAUUCUAGUCAGCUUUGUGGGCAACAUGGGCUUUCAGCACACUUCCCUCAAUGCACCUGCACCCUUCUUGACAAUCU